rnacentral:rRNA from 1 species
UACGUAGGGGGCAAGCGUUGUCCGGAAUCAUUGGGCGUAAAGCGCGUGUAGGCGGCCCGGUAAGUCCGCUGUGAAAGUCCAGGGCUCAACCCUGGGAUGCCGGUGGAUACUGUCGGGCUCGAGUCCGGAAGAGGAGUGUGGAAUUCCUGGUGUAGCGGUGAAAUGCGCAGAUAUCAGGAGGAACACCAAUGGCGAAGGCAGCUCGCUGGGACGGUACUGACGCUGAGACGCGAAAGCGUGGGGAGCAAACAGG